rnacentral:rRNA from 1 species
UACGUAGGGGCGAGCGUUGUCCGGAGUACUGGGCGUAAAGCGCACGCAGGCGGUCUGUUAAGUUUGGAGUGACAGUUGGUGGCUUAACUGCCAAAGUGCUUCGAAAACUGACAGACUUGAGGGCUUCAGAGGGACACGGAAUUCCGGGUGGAGUGGUGAAAUGCGUAGAGAUCCGGAGGAACACCAAAGGCGAAGGCAGUGUCCUGGGGAGUACCUGACGCUCAGGU